rnacentral:rRNA from 1 species
GACGAACGCUGGCGGCGUGCUUAACACAUGCAAGUCGAACGGAAAGGCCCUGCUUUUGUGGGGUGCUCGAGUGGCGAACGGGUGAGUAACACGUGAGUAACCUGCCCUUGACUUUGGGAUAACUUCAGGAAACUGGGGCUAAUACCGGAUAGGAGCUCCUGCUGCAUGGUGUGGGUUGGAAAGUUUCGGCGGUGGGGGAUGGACUCGCGGGUUAUCAGCUGGUUGGUGGGGUAGUGGCUUACCAAGGCUUUGACGGGUAGCCGGCCUGGGAGGGUGACCGGCCACAUUGGGACUGAGAUACGGCCCAGACUCCUACGGGAGGCAGCAGUGGGGAAUAUUGCACAAUGGGCGGAAGCCUGAUGCAGCAACGCCGCGUGCGGGAUGACGGCCUUCGGGUUGUAAACCGCUUUCGCCUGUGACGAAGCGUGAGUGACGGUAAUGGGUAAAGAAGCACCGGCUAACUACGUG